rnacentral:rRNA from 1 species
UACGAAGGGGGCUAGCGUUGCUCGGAAUUACUGGGCGUAAAGGGCUCGUAGGCGGCCAACUAAGUCAGACGUGAAAUCCCUCGGCUUAACCGGGGAACUGCAUCUGAUACUGGAUGGCUUGAGUUCGGGAGAGGGAUGCGGAAUUCCAGGUGUAGCGGUGAAAUGCGUAGAUAUCUGGAGGAACACCGGUGGCGAAGGCGGCAUCCUGGACCGACACUGACGCUGAGGAGCGAAAGCCAGGGGAGCGAACGGG